UCCUCGGUAGCUCAGUUGGUAAAGCACUGAACUAGCGAUUCGGAGGUUGUGGGUUCGAGUCCCGCUCGGGGAG